ensembl:lncRNA novel transcript
AGUUUUGUUUUCUGUUACAACAGAGCAGCACUGAGUUAAAUGCCUCACAGUUGCUGCAACAUCCCUCUCCCUAACGCACAGAAAUGCUCUGCACAUCAUGCUACCUCUGCUGGGGGAUGGGAGAAGAGCAGCAUCGGUGAUACAAGACUGAAUUUACUACCUCUUCCGUGGCUUUUUCAGCAAUAAGAAGUUAAAACUAGAUGGAAAAAUGCUUCCCCCAGGAGACACAAUAAUAACUUAUUCGACCAGGAAGGUAAGACUGGCCACUCUGAAUCAACGAGCAAAGAAAGGAGUUGCUGUGCUGACUGGGGUGAUUGUCCCUGACUACUAAAGGAAAAAUUGGACAGCUAUGAUGGCUACUCUACAAUGGAGAGUCAUUGUGAUUUAAGGAGAUGUGUAUGAGUGCCAAGUUGACAAGACAAAGCAUGAACUUAUGAUGGUUAAUUUACAUGUCGUUUUGACAGGACACUGCAUAACCAGAUUAAAGAUUAUUUCUGAGUGUGUCUGUGAGAUUGUUUCUGGGGGAGUUAGCAUUUGAAGCUGUGAACUGAGUAAAGCAGAUUUUUCUCCCAAAUGUGGGUGGGCAGUGUCCAAUUCUUUGAGAGCCUGAAUAGAAGAAAAAGGCAGAGGAAGGGGAAAUCUGUUCUCUCUGCCUGAUCACGUGAGCUGGGACAUUAGUCUUCUCCUGUCCCGGCAUGAGGCUUGUACCAACAGCCCUCUUGUUCUCAAAAGUACACCACUGGCUUUCCUGGGUCUUGAGUUUACAGAUGGAACAUUCUGGGACCAGUUAGCCAUAAUUUCAUCAGCCAAUUCCUUGCAAAAAAUUAUAUGCUUAUAUAGUUUCCUUGGUUUUGUUUCUAUGGAAAACCCUGACAGACAAUAACCAUGUUCCUAAGAAAUAGCCAGUGAAAUAUUAUAGCAUAAAGAGAUAUACUACUAUAUGCACUGUAUUCUCAAAUAGUCCAGAAAAAAAUGUGAACAUACAAACAUAUGUAGAUAUGCACACACAUGUGUAUAUAUGAUAUACAUUUGUGAUAU